UUCCCCAUUACGCAAGUCCCCAGGAGCUGGGCAGUGUCACCUGCUGGGUCACCCCCAGGGCCUGGGUGCCGUGAGCAGCAGCUGGGAUCUGCCUGGUGCAGGGAGAGAAGCUGGAUGUGGAGAAGAAGAAGAGCUGACUCUUGGGUUUCAGUGCUGUUUCUUUGAUGGUGUAGUUGAGCGUGGCGUACUCCAUGAGAGCGGCGAAGACGAAGAUGAAGCACACGGAGACGAAGAGGUCUCCAGCACAGUGGUGCUCCUGCGGGCUGCCUCCCCCUGCCUCACCUGCCCCGGUCCUGAGGACUUCCGAGGUGUUCCUCAGCCCUGUGAAGUCGAACUGGUAGAGCCUCCAGGUGCGCUGGUCAGAGACCUCGA